rnacentral:lncRNA from 1 species
GAAGACCUAUUACAUGCUAAGCAGUGUGCUAAGGGCUGUAUCUCUAUUAUCUUAUAGGUGCUUCAGAUCCCUUCUGGAACAAGGUGGGCACGUAAAUACCUUGGAAAGAUGUGUGAUUUCAUGCAGACACCUGGCCAGCACCUCAGUCACAGGUCCAUUUGGGCGUACCCUCCUGUACUUAGUGGACUGCCACCAGAAGUCUGGGGACCGAAAUCCGACAUUACCAUACCCAUUCCACGUCUGGCAGGCUAAAGAACGUUGAAGAUGGAUUUGAAAUUGAAGCCUCAACCCUUUUUGAAACUGGGUCUCUCUAAUUUGCUAAAUUGCAUAGGCUGGGAUUGAAGUUGUGAUCAUUUUGGCUUAGCCUCCCAGAGUUCUGGGAUUAUAAGCAGGCACCAUAAUAUCUAGUUUCUUCUCUAGAAUUCUUAGGGAAGUUUGUACAAAGAUCAACAGGCAAAUGGGAAGUCAGUUUUGUCAUUUUACAAAAUAAAGUGUUUCCCAUACCCCAAGGCAGAGUGGGAGUGCUGGUAACAACUCACCUAAAGAAUAAGUGAGGGGUCUGGUCUUAGUUACUUUCUCCCUUGCUGGGACAAAAUAUCUGAUACGUACAGCUCGAGGAAGGAGAAUGUUAUUUUUGACUCACAGUUUGUAGAGGUUCUAAUCCAUAGCUGGCUGGUUCCAGGACAGAGCAGGAGGGCAGAGGGACAAGGCAGAGGAGAAACAGCUCAUGGCAUGGUGGCAGGAAACAGAGAGAGAAAUCAAGGGAGGAGAGAGGGAGAGAGACCAUGUGCCUGACAACCCAUCUCCUCCUACCAGGCUCUACCUCUCAGCAUGACAUUUAGCCCUAAACGCAUCAGUGGACUUACCCAUUGAUGAGCAUUGUACCACCACGAUCCCAUCAACUCCCAGUGACGAUGUAGAUAUGAUGAGUGUAUGAAGCCUCGGGGUGGGCAUCUAGAUCUAAAUUACAACUGGCC